UCUCAUGAUUUAAUCCUAAUCUAAUUAGGAUUGGCCAAAUUGGGUUCAAUCUAUGCUAGUCCUAAUCCAAUUAGGACUUGAAUGAACCAUGACUCAAUUGAACUCUUCAAUCCUAAUCCAAUUAGGAGUCAUGUUGAUUCAUUAGAUUAAUAAUUAAUUAGGACUUAAGGAAUCCUAAUCCAAUUAGGAUUUGUUUUAAU
rnacentral:lncRNA from 1 species